GACGAACGCUGGCGGCGUGCUUAACACAUGCAAGUCGAACGGAAAGGCCCUGCUUUUGUGGGGUGCUCGAGUGGCGAACGGGUGAGUAACACGUGAGUAACCUGCCCUUGACUUUGGGAUAACUUCAGGAAACUGGGGCUAAUACCGGAUAGGAGCUCCUGCUGCAUGGUGGGGGUUGGAAAGUUUCGGCGGUUGGGGAUGGACUCGCGGCUUAUCAGCUUGUUGGUGGGGUAGUGGCUUACCAAGGCUUUGACGGGUAGCCGGACUGAGAGGGUGACCGGCCACAUUGGGACUGAGAUGCGGCCCAGACUCCUACGGGAGGCAGCAGUGGGGAAUAUUGCACAAUGGGCGGAAGCCUGAUGCAGCAACGCCGCGUGCGGGAUGACGGCCGUCGGGUUGUAAACCGCUUUCGCCUGUGACGAAGCGUGAGUGACGGUAAUGGGUAAAGAAGCACCGGCUAACUACGUG
rnacentral:rRNA from 1 species